CACAAUGUUACUAACAAACCUAUCAAUUGUUAACUUAAAUUGUAAACAGAAUACAACAUAAUACAUAAACAACUAAUUGAUAUAAAAAAUCAAACAGAAAUUCAAAUAUUCAAAUUUUGCCUUCAAAGAAUGAUAAGAACAUUAGACAUGGUGUUGUGGUAGCUUUUCUGCCACCAAGAAAUAGAAAAGUCCCAUUACACCAGAAUGCCUUAUACUGCUACUGUGGUUAGCCUCUAGAGUUAAGGUUUCACCAUCAAAUAUCUUGAUGGAACCUGGUUUAGGGUAACAAGUGGACAUUCCUACAAUAUAACCUUUCUCAUUUCCUGCUCCUUUUCCUUUUCCAUAUUUUGGGAUUGAAGUGCAUAUAGCCCUCCCAUCCUGACAUUGCCACAACCAAAAUUUCAAUGAUAAUCGAAUUCGAAUCAUAUACGCAACGUAAUUAACCACUUAUAUGAACUCCGUUAGCCACUAAACAAUGAUUUCAAUCAUGUAAUGUUACCUGUCCAUAUAAAGUUAAUCCAACUGCGCCUGCGUGCUGAUGACCGACUCCAUAGACGACAUAACCACCGGUUUGCAUUGGGAAGCUUGUUCUCUUGACAUCAACGCAGCCGCUACCAUUCAGAUGACUUGUGCUGCAAGGUUCAACUUCAUACUCAAUCUGCAUGUAGCAAAGAAUCUGUUACUCACACAUGAACUAGUAUAAUAAUAUAAAUAGUAAUAUGAAUUGAAUUAUUAUCAUUUUGAUUUGUGUUAACGCAUUUGCAAUCAAUGCUUUAGACUCAUUCCUUUUGGACUUAUCUGAAAUCAUACAUAAAGUUAUCAGUUAUCAUCAAAAUAAUAAAUCUUGACAGUCACCUUAUAAACUCUUACCAAAUUGGAUCCACAUAACUGGUGUAUUUCAAAUAAAGCUCUGUUGUUUAUGGAGCCUAAGAACUUUUCUAUCAGCUUACAGUUACCAUUAUCAGGACAACACUGCAAAACCAUCUAUUAAUAAAUCUGGAGACUACAACAUUUGCCAGUAACAUGUACAAAUCCAUUGUCACACUCAGUGGCAUCCACAUUCUAUCUUCCACACCUCUUGUAUGCANAUCCUGACAUUGCCACAACCAAAAUUUCAAUGAUAAUCGAACGUAAUUAACCACUUAUAUGAACUCCGUUAGCCACUAAACAAUGAUUUCAAUCAUGUAAUGUUACCUGUCCAUAUAAAGUUAAUCCAACUGCGCCUGCGUGCUGAUGACCGACUCCAUAGACGACAUAACCACCGGUUUGCAUCGGGAAGCUUGUUCUCUUGACAUCAAUGCAGCUGCUACCAUUCAGAUGACUUGUGCUGCAAGGUUCAACUUCAUACUCAAUCUGCAUGUAGCAAAGAAUCUGUUACUCACACAUGAACUAGUAUAAUAAUAUAAAUAGUAAUAUGAAUUGAAUUAUUAUCUUUUGAUUUGUGUUACCUUGCAAUCAUGCUUUAGACUCAUUCCUUUGGACUUAUCUGAAAUCUUCAAAGUAUCAGUUAUAUCAAAUAUAUAAAUCUUGACAGGUACCAUAAACUCUUCCCAAUUGAUCCACAUAACUGUGUAUUUCAAAUAAAGCUUUUGUUUUAAGCCUGAGAACCCUUUCAUCAGCUUACAGUUACCAUUAUCAGGACAACACUGCAAACCACCUUUAUAAUCUGGACUCAAAUUUGCCGUAACAUUGUACAAAUCACAUUUACACUCAGUGCAUCCCAUUCUAUCUUCCACACCUCUUGUAUCAAUAGCAUGAACAUUAACCAACCAUUUUUCCUCAUACCCUUUAGGAAUUUCAUCAGGAUUACCAACUUCAAUUCCAUAAGGAUCUGGAAUAUAUGUUUUUGUGCCUCUUGUUUCGGAUCCAAGACCAUAGUAUUGUCCAAAAACACUGUCUUGACAGAAACCACUAUUUCUUACAAAAACAAUACCGUUUUGGCUAUUGUUUGUCGCGUUUAUAGGUUGAUGGUAUCGUACGGCAACCCAAUGGUGUAGAUAAGUUUGAUGGAGAGGUACUGAUUUCCCGAUUCAUCGACCAGUUCAGCAUUCAAACUCUUGAGUGAAAUAUGACCUCUAGGAAAAUCAACAUCAUGGUAUAUUUUGUUUGAAACAGAUCCUGGACUUAGCUCAAUCUUGGGAGACAUAAAAACUUUUGUUUGAAUAUUUGUUCUAAUACCAGCUGAUGAGAAUGACGUGCUUGACAGAAACACCAGUACUAGUAUUGUCCAUGAAAGCUUCCAAUUUUGUGAUGCAAAUUUCAUGUUGAUAUCUGUUUAUAGCAACAAAAAAUUAAAAGCAAAUGAUGGUAAAUACUAUAUCAAGAAAAUAUUACUAUACUAGUUGAAAACUAAGAAAAUAUUACUAUGCUAUAUAUAUGAUGAUGAUGUUAAUCAUGUGAGAAGGAACGUACCUCUGAAAAAUUAACCCAAGUUGAGAGAUGAAACAUGAAGCACUAAAGAUGGUUGAAUUGUUAAGAUUGAAACAAGAAAUAUUUACAUAUGAAAAGAUUGAGUAAGGUGGCUUUUGAGAUGGUUUAAGGUAUGGCGUUUACCAAAUAUGGAUAGUAAAUGGAAAGCACUAUGUUAUAGAAGUUUCAAUGCUUUCUAACUGAAUACGGUCGAAUGAAUAACCUGGAGAGUUAAGAGCCCGUUUGUUUUGACUUUUUUUAAAAAUGAUUUUUAUAAUAUUAUAUAUUUUAGUGUAAAAAAAUAUUUACAAAGAAAUUUUUCAUAAAAACUUCAAAUGAAAAUUUGGUUUGAAUAGUUAUUCUUAAAAUAUUAUUUUAGGUAUUUCAUCAUUUUAUCGAAAUUUUUUUUGGAUAUCAAAUUUUCAAAAAAUCACUUAAUUAUGAAGCUAUUUCAAAUAGUUUUUCAUAAAAAUCAUUUUUAAGAUACAAUUUUUUGAAAAAAUUAUGAUUUUGACUAUGUUUUGAUCUUCAAUGAUGUAUAUUUAUAUUAUAGAAUGAACAAUUCAAUCUUUUAAUUUAUAAAAAAUAAAUUUAAAAAAACUUAUAAUAUUUUAAAAAAUAUUUUUGUAGAAUCCAUUUUCAAAAAUACAAAGAAAAAAUCUAUUUUUUUAAAGCUAAAAUAAACUGACCAUUAAAUAAAAUUUUUUUGGUAAUCGGUUUUAUAAAAAUUAUCUCAGACUGCCAUUGGGUUAUCUUGGUCUCAUAUGUUGUAUCUUGAAUUUGUUGAGUGACUCUAUAAAGACACGAAGGACUAUAGAUAGAUAAGAUAUUAUAACACUCCUAUUUAGGCUUAGAGCUGGGUGGAUAUAUAAAUCUACUAACAUUGUAAUGGAGAAAUGAUAAUAAUACUCUUUUCAAUAUUUGUUUCGGAUGAUUUUCUGUAGGUUUGGUUUAGCGAAGAGGGAAAAACAAUUUUAAAGAUGUAAAAUUAAUUCUAGAGUGAUUUUGAAGUGUUUGAUUCUUUUAAAGUAGAAUUGAUUUUGGUUCCAAAUCUGUUUCUACCCGAAGCUACGUAGUUUCUGAGUUUAAAUUUGAUUUUUAUAUUGAAAUUUGUUGUUGAACUCAUUUUUACAUAAAUGUAUCCAAAAUAAAUCAAUUUUAUUAAACUUAAUUAUGUUAAAAUCAAUUCUAUCAAACACAUUAUGUCAAAAUCAAUCAUGGCCACCCCAAACUAAACACAUACUUACUAGAUUGGUCUCACAUGGAGUAUGAGAAAUUGGUCUCACAUGGAGUAUGAAAACCUAUAUGUAUUUUUAGAUAAAAAUGUGAAAUUUGAAAGAUUAGUCGGCUAAUAAACUUUUAAAAUUGAUUAUUUUUUCUUCAAGGAGUUGCUAUUAAGAAAGAAUUAUAUCUCAUUUUUGUGAGUUUUUUAAAACUAUUAUUACAACGCUAGAAUGAAUACAAGAAAUUCAACUAUUAAUCUAAAAAAUGCGUAAAAGUAAAGUAAAAAUAAAGAAGAUAUAACGCAUAAAUCGUUAAAAAAUGCAUAAAAGUAAAGUAAAAAUAAAGAAGUUAUAACACAUAAAUCGUUAAAAAAAAUGUAUAUGGGCUUAACUCAAUCUUACAAAACCAUCUUGUAGGGUGAGAAUUCUCUAACUUAUAAGGAUAUGUUAGGUCAUAUAUAUAUAUAUAUAUAUAUAUAUAUAUAUAUAUAUAUAUAUAUAUAUAUAUAUAUAUAUAUAUANNNNNNNNNNNNNNNNNNNNNNNNNNNNNNNNNNNNNNNNNNNNNNNNNNNNNNNNNNNNNNNNNNNNNNNNNNNNNNNNNNNNNNNNNNNNNNNNNNNNNNNNNNNNNNNNNNNNNNNNNNNNNNNNNNNNNNNNNNNNNNNNNNNNNNNNNNNNNNNNNNNNNNNNNNNNNNNNNNNNNNNNNNNNNNNNNNNNNNNNNNNNNNNNNNNNNNNNNNNNNNNNNNNNNNNNNNNNNNNNNNNNNNNNNNNNNNNNNNNNNNNNNNNNNNNNNNNNNNNNNNNNNNNNNNNNNNNNNNNNNNNNNNNNNNNNNNNNNNNNNNNNNNNNNNNNNNNNNNNNNNNNNNNNNNNNNNNNNNNNNNNNNNNNNNNNNNNNNNNNNNNNNNNNNNNNNNNNNNNNNNNNNNNNNNNNNNNNNNNNNNNNNNNNNNNNNNNNNNNNNNNNNNNNNNNNNNNNNNNNNNNNNNNNNNNNNNNNNNNNNNNNNNNNNNNNNNNNNNNNNNNNNNNNNNNNNNNNNNNNNNNNNNNNNNNNNNNNNNNNNNNNNNNNNNNNNNNNNNNNNNNNNNNNNNNNNNNNNNNNNNNNNNNNNNNNNNNNNNNNNNNNNNNNNNNNNNNNNNNNNNNNNNNNNNNNNNNNNNNNNNNNNNNNNNNNNNNNNUUUUAAAUUUCAUAACAAGUUUUCAAUUUUAAAAAUUGUAAAGAGAUGUUGUCACCAUCCUGCAUUUUGUUAUCCCUAACAUCCAAUUAUUUGAUGAUUUAUUGUUUUUGCAAUUUCUUUCAUGAUGGGGUUCAAUCUUGUUAGGAUUUCUAUAAUGUUUUCAACAUUUUUUCCCCAUUAAUAUUAUGAGCAAGCAAAUAGCGAGACUGAUCCCCUUUAUAUCAUAAUUUCUCUAAGCAAUGAUCUUUUUAUACCUUCUCAAAAGUGUCAAAGGUAAAUAUCUCUGAUAAGUGGUUAGGUUACCUGCAACAAUGAUUAACACUGUGUAGUUUCUUUUGAACUAUGACAUAUGUGGCUCUAGUAAAUGACCACCGAUAAAUGUUGGUAGUAAUACUCUUAAUAAAAUCAUAACCUUAAUUAUAAGACUUAUACAAUAAGGUCUUCCAACUGUAUGCAUAUUGGAAUUACAUGAUGGGACAUUGUAUCAAACUCCUUAAAUCUUUCUCAAGCAUCAAACAAUGAUUCAUAUUCUCCUUUUUUGAAUGAGGUAAUCUCAUUCCUCAAUUUUGUAUUCUUCAAAAGAGAAAAACAUUUGGGUAAAAACUUCUCAACCAAACCAUUACAUGUGGCACUAGAAUUAGGUUCCAAAUAAUUGCGCCAACAUUUAGCUUUAUUCCUUAGGAAAUAUAGAAACAUCCUCAAGCUAAAAGCAUUACGAUUUUAAAGUUACUAGCAAUUUCAAGCAAUUGCCUCAAAUGUUAGUGUGGAUCAUCUAUUACAGCGCUUUGAUAUUGACCAAUAGCUUGAAACAUAUAAAACAUCAUUAACUUGAACUCAAUCUGAGCCACGAUGAAGUCUGGUCUAAUAUAAUACCAAUACUCAUGGAAGUAAGGUAAAAAAACAGUCUUUGAUACUUCUUGCCCUAUAAUUAGAAAUGACAAUGAUAUAUGUUUCUGCCAUGUCUUAUUCUUGUUAUUGAGGAUUUUCAAGAUCUUCUUCAAGUUUUUCAAAUAAUGGAGCAUAAAUAGGGUUUCUGUGAGUUGAUUGUCAACUUGAUAUCUCCUUAAGAGUUUGAAAGUUCUUUCUAGUUAAGAGUCUCCUAUGUAAACUGCGAUUAACAAUGUACGCAUGCAACAACCAUGCAUUUGUCGUGAUACAAGAAAAUAGAAAACACCUAAAGCUCAAACGUAACUUUUUACAAUUUAAAUGAAAAACGCCAAAAAUUUAUUGGCUAUUUUUAUGUACAAGUAUACACAAUCAAAAUUAGUAAGAAGUGUUAAAAGUAAGAGUAUCGAUACCAUAUCGAUUGUAUUAACUUGAAUUGAUUUUCAAUCCAAGAAAUUAUGAAAACAACAUGAGCAAAAAUAACAAAUAAUUGAUGGUUGUCACUUGAUCAGAAACAAUAAAUUACAACUAAGAAGUAAAGGUUUUUUAACAGAGUGGAAUAACAUGUUGGACAAUGAUCCAUUUAAUGAUUUUACAUAAUCUAUGAUUAUGAAAUGAUAUGACUUGACAAAUGAUGCCAGAGCAUGACCUAGUGAUGUAUGCCUACAAUAUCAAAGUAUAUGUAUUAAUUCACUAUGGAGCAAAUUUCCAGGUCUCACAGUAUCAUCCAUGCAUUUCUUUUAUAAGUUAUGUUAUUGCAUGAGGCUCUAGAUUUUUAUCACUAAAGUGUAUAGAAAACAAUUUUGUAAUCUAAUCAUUUUUGUUAAGUGUGUAGAUCAAAGAAAAUCAAUUCUAACUCUAAAAAAGUCAACUCUGAGCGUAUCAGACUCUAAAGAAGUCAAGUACGGUCAAGCCAGACUCUAAUCUGAAGAUGCACUCUAAACCAAAGGAAGAAUCAAAUGUGUCUUUUAAAUGAUAGUCAAGCAUUUGGAUUAUUAAGUUAACGAUUAUGAAAGAAUCUAUCCAGAAUGACUCUUAUAAAGACUUUGAUAUUCAAGCCUUUGAAGUCUCAGAACUCUGAACUCAAUAGACUCUGAAGUCUCAUUUUCACUAGAUUAUGAAGACUGACUCUGAACUUUAUUCAAGUUUCAAAAAACUUAAAUACGAAGUCUCUGACUAGAAGUUAAUAAAUGAAGGAAGAAUAUGUGGCAGAGUACAAUUAGUACAAAAUCAAAUAUCUUUAUCACUACCCUGAAGAUCAGGAAAAGGACCGUACUAUUGUACCAAUGUUGUUCCUCUCGUCCCAUCCUCACCCACUCUAUACUGCAAGCGCCACUCUACUGUUGUAGAAUAAAGCACCUUCAUGCAACUGUAAUAUUGAGGAUAUUCCAAUUCCACCCUCCAACGGAUCUAUUCAUCAUCUAUAUAAAGAGGUCUUGGAAGUUUGGAAAAGAAACAAAUAGAACAACUAACAUUGUGAAAGAAUACACAUACAUGAGAAAUAUCAUGUCCAUUCACUUAGAAUAUUUUCUUGAAUAUUUCUUUCAAGUGUAGUCUUUGUUUUUAACUUGUGUAAUCUGCUUAUUUUAGAAGAACUUUGUAAACACAUAUUGUAUUAUUAACCUUUGGUUAAUAUCCUUGAGAGACGAGGGUAUAGUCGGAAUUCUCAAGAAGUCUUAGACAAUUUGUUUUUGAGUUUGUAAUCAAUUCUUGGAUUUAUGGAUUAAGUAAUUAUUGAGAAGGGGAAUCACUCUGGAGGGUGGACUAGACGUAACUUAGUUAACAGUGAACCAUGAUAAAAAUAAUUGUGUCUUUUAUUUUUGUUGAAUAUUUGUUGUUUGUGUUAUUGGGUAGCGAAAACGUUUUAAUUUAGAAACCCAAUUCAAACUCCCAUUUCUUGUGUUUCUUAAACCUUUACUAUAGUAAUCAACUAUGACUAAUCCAUAUUUAUUCUCAUUGAUUGAUGCAUUAGUAACUGGAACAAAAAAAUAAAUGUGAAGAAAUUCUAAAGGUCUGGAGGUAGAGACAAUGUUCUUAGUUUAAAAGAAGUUUUAUGAAUUUUUUCCACUUGACAUGCUCCACAAAGAAUAUCUGAGUGAUAAUUAAGUUCUGACAAUCUUUUAACAAGUUUUAACUUACUAAGUUUAGAGAUUAAUCUCCACUUAGCAUGACCUAACCUUCUGUGCCAAAGCUAUUUUUUAUCACUCACUGAUAGAAGGAAAAGUACCUUCUUAUCAGCCAAUUCAGAGAAAUUUAUUUUAUAAACAUUUCCUUUUAUCCUACCUUUAAACACUAGGGACUUGUCAGACUCAUUCAUGAAUAUAUUAAACAUAACUUUAUAACCACUAUCACAAAAUUGACUGAUGUUAAGUAGAUUAUGCUUUAAUCCAUAUACCAAACUAAAUAUUAUUAAUAGAGAUAGAGGAAUUACCAAUAAUACUCGUGCCAAUGAUCCUUCCUUUCUGUUUUAAUCCAAAUCCCACAGUUCCUCCCUUUUUUAGAGUUAGGGUUUGGAACAUAUGCUUUUCUCCUCUCAUAUGUCAUGAGCAACCACUGUCUAAGUACCAAGACCGCUGAUUUUCUUCUUCUCUCUUGAAGCAAAUCUGAUGCAAAAAUAAUUUCAGAUUUAGGUACCCAUAGUCUUAUGGGUCCUUUGGGGUUAGUUAUGACAAACUUCUUCUUAUUUUGUACCUUAGCUUUUAUAUAGUAAUGAUUAUGAUUAUUCAAGACUUUUGGUUUAAAAGUUUGAUGUCUUGAAUAAAUCUUAGCCUUUGGUUCUGAACCCUUCAAAACUUUAGACUUUGAUGUCUUAGGUUCUGGUUUCUUCAGAAUCUUUGACUUUAGAGUUUUUGAUUAUGGUUUUUUUCAGAAUCUUUGACUUUAGAGUUUUUGGUUCUGGUUUCUUCAGGACCUUUGACUUUAAAGUCUCAGGUUCUGAUUUCUUUAGAACUUUUGACUCUAUAGUUUUAGGUUCUUACUGGUUCAGAACCUAUAUAUUUUGUCAGCAAUAGGUACAAAAUAGGAAUCUAUCCCUUUUUUAACAGAGCUUGAAGAAGAAUGUUUUAUUAGUUUAAUCAAGGUUCAGACCUUAGAUUAAAAGGUUUUUUAGAAUAACCAAGACCCUCUCCUUUGCUUAUACUUACUCCAUAAAUCAUGGAUAUAAUUUUUGUCACGUUAAAGCCAAUUAUGAUAAAUUCCUGAAGAGUCAUUUCACGUUCAUCAAGAGUUUCAUCAAACAUUUCUUUUACUAGAGAAAUAUGAUCUCUUUAUAAAGCUUCAUUUUUAUUUUGAGAAUAUUUUAAUUCAUCUUUCAAUAUAUGAUAUUUCUUUUUCAAGAUUUUUGUAUGUCUGGAUUUUUCCUGACACCGACCCAUAAGGUCUUGAGUAAAAGUAAUCAAAUCAGAACGAGAUAGUUUAAUAAAUACCUUAUCCUCUUCUUCAGAAUUUGAACUAAAUUUUGAGUCAGAUUCUGUAUCUAAAGAUGUAAGAGCCAUCAGAGCUAGAUUGACUUAUUUUCAUCUUUCUCAGAUUCAUCUUUUUUUCUCAUGUUCAUCCCAUGUUACCAUGAGACUCUUCUUGAACUUUUUUCUAAAGAUUUCGUUCUAAUAGCUUCCUUUCUUUGACUUGUCCUUUUGCAACUUUGAACAGUCAUCAAUGAAUUGAUCAGACUUCUUGCAGUUGAAGCAUCCUUUCUAGUCAUCUUUCUUUUCUCUUGAGCUUGAUCAUCUGAAGCCACUGCUUCUGCCAGAGAACCUUUUGUUCUUCUUUUCCAAAUACUAAAAUCUUUUAAUUAUGAAAGCCAUUUAUUUAUCAUUUGAUACUUCUUCAAAAACUCUUACAUAAACAACUUCUUCAAAUUUCCAGACUUUAGAAGACUUAGCAGGUUGAACAACAUAUUUCGAAGCAAGAGACUUUGAUAUCUUUGUUGGUUCAUCUCCAUUGAGCUCCAUCACAUGACUUUGGAUAUUUCUUAUUAGGCUCUCAAGACUUAUAAUGUUUAAGUUUUUGGCUUCUUGAAUGGCUGACACCUUUGGUCUGUAUCUGGUAGGAAGACUCAUAAGGAUCUUCUUGACAUGAUCAUAAUUAGUAUAGCUCUUGUUCAUAACUUGAAGACCAGAUACCAGAACUUGAAACCUCGAAAACACGGUUUCAAUAUCUUCAUCUUCUGUCAUUCUGAACAACUUAUACUAUUGGACCAAAAGGUUAGCCUUUGCUUCUUUUAGAACAUAAGGAUUCAAAGAUGGUCUUUGCAGUAGAUUUGUUGAUUAUUUUGAGAUAGUCAUAAUGGGGUAGAGCAUCUACCAGAAUGUCACACCCUUUGUAAUGUUUUAUAUAGGUUUUCUUUUGAGCAUGAGUUAAGCUCUUUCUAUCAGCCACCAUUCCACUCCAUCAACUAGAAUUUCAAUACAAUCUUCAAGAAUAUUCGACAACUCGUCAUCAACACCUAUGAUGUGAGUGUACAUCUUACUUUUCAAUCAUUCAAACUCAGUACAAUCUCAACUGAAGGUUGAAGUUUUAGAAGUAUAAUUGUUCUUUUCAUAUGUACUAUGAUCAUAGAUUACAAUAUAUCAGUCAUGUUUUUCUCUUAGGAUCUUUUCUGUACCAUAAUUAAGUGUCAGAAGCACAUAUUAUGCUCUGAUGUCAAUUGAAAUUGAGAAAAACAUAAGAAAUGAGAGUUGAAUUGUGUUAGUUUUUUCUUUCUUUUUUGAAAAUCUCUUAUCAGAUUUUGAACACAAAGUAUAGAAUUUGAAUUAGAGUUAAGUGAUUAGCAGCGAAUUAGAACGAUUCUGAGAUAUAAAGGAAAGAAAUAGAGAAACAAGUAGUUAUCGUGGUUCCUCUCAUAAAUCAAGAGUAGUCCAAUCCCCUUGCACUUCCAAGAGAUUUUACUAUAACCAAAAUUGAUUACAAUUGCUCAAGCACACAAGCAAGAGACUUUCAAAUGCUCAAAACCACAAGUAAGAGACUUCAAAUACUCAAGCACACAAGAAAGAGACUUUCAAAUGCUCAAAACCACAAGUAAGAGAUUUCAAAUACUCAAGCACACAAGAAAGAGACUCUAGUUUCUCAAACACACAAGCAAUAGACUUCUUGAACUCUAACUUAUAGUUAAGGGAUUGUGGAAAACUAUACUUGAUAUACAAUCAGAGGUGUAAACAAAAUACAACACAUAAAUACUCUAAGACUUAAAAAUUUCUAAGAUAUAAAAGUUUUAAGAAAUUCUAAGUUAAACUUAUGCUUUUUGUUUGACAGGGUAACAACUCUUUUAUUGUCAAUGGUUCAUUCUUUAUUCUUCAAGUCUCCAACUCCUUAUAUAGAGAAGAAAGAAAGUCGUAGAAGAGUUUGCACAAUAGAGUCUUUGAGAAUUUUGAUUCAGAGACGUUGAGAUGUUUCUUGAUAUGGUUAAUACUGUUGAAAUCUCAUUUGAAAUCCCUUUGCUAUAAAAGGAAUUAUAUGUUGCAUUCCAAUUGUCUUCUGUAGAUUUUAUGCGAUCAGAAGAAGACAAAAUAUCCCCAAAGUCUAAUAAUGACCUAUUAGAGUCUCCUCAAUCAUCGCGUUGACUGACCUUAGUGUCUGGUAGUGACCUAUCAGAGUCUACUUGGUCCUUGUGUUGACGGACUUCAGAGUCUUAGUCUUUAGAGUCUUCAAGUUUUGAUCCUUUAGAGUCUGAGUCUUCAAGGUUGACUUUCUUUAGAGUCCGAGACCUUGGAGUAUGGUUCUGAUCCUUCAGAUUUUGGAUAUUUUAGGUUCUUUUUAAAUGUUCAUCUUUAGUAUCAGAAUUGACUUUUUAUCAGACUUUUUAGUCUAUGAUCCUGCACACUUGAACCUAUAUUAGUAUAUGCAAUUGCUCUUUAAAUACUUUAUUAUCAUCAAAAUCUUAGAGAUAUGGUACAAGCUAAUUUUGUUCUAACAAAGGAUAUGUAAUGCUUAAUAGAUUAUAAGUGAAGAAAUUUCAUCGCUUGAGACAUAAAUUAUUCAUCUCUACUAAGAGACAGAAUAUUAUUAUUACUUCCAUCUUUGAACACUUAGAGAUGAAUAGUUUAACAACCAAAGUUGAAUCAUCUUUAAUUCUUCUAGAACAUUUCAAUGAGGAAAAUUUCAUGUUUUAGAGACAGGUUUCAUUCCUAUCUAUACUCAGCGAUGACAAUUUUUUUAACAAUUAUACUAUUCCUACACUACUUUUUACACCAAAUACAUAUACUAUAUACAAUGUUCACCGUAUUUAUACGGUGAACAGUAUUUUUUUAAAAUUAAAAAAUAAUAAUUAUAAACAGUGUAUGAACAUUACAUGAACAGUGUAUGAACAGUAUAUGAACAAUAUCAUGUAAAUAGUAAUCGGGAACAAUACCUUUAAAGUAAUGAAAUAAAGUUGGUUAAUAAAAUAUAAAAAUUUGGUUAAUAAAAUGACGAAGUUGGUUAAUACACGUCCAAAUAUUAAAAAUAAUUUUUACUAGUACACCAAAGUUAGUUAAUAAAAAGUAAAAAAUUAGUUAAUAAAAUUAUGAAGUUGGUUAAUAAACGUUCAGUUGUCCAAAUAAAUUUUUAGUAGUCAUCAAAGUUGGUUAAUAAAAUUAUAAAAUUAUUAAUCACAUAAUUUUAUAUCAAUAUAAUUUAAUUUAAAAAAUAAUAAUAAUAAUAAUAAUAUCUUUUAAUAUUCUAUUUUUAAAAAUAUAUAUUAUAAUAUUUCACUGUUCACCGUAUUGAUAAACAGUAAAAUAUAGGUGUAGGUGUUGAUUUUAGUGUAAGAAUAUCAUUUCUCUUUUUUUAAUAGUGGAUAUCUUUCUAUUGAAAGGUGAUAAUUGAUGGAUUGCAUGCGUUUUAUUUUUAACGACCUAAUUGAUUUGAAUCUAUUAAAAAAAUAUUUUAAUGGAUUAUUAAUAAAUUAAUAGAUUGUUUUGAUUAAUUAAAAAUUUUCUCGAUCCAUUUAUUUUUUCAUCCUUUCAUUGAGAAAGAAGACAUGUGUAUAUCAAAUAUCAAAUAUCAAAUAUGUGUUGGCAACUUCAACUUCUUGCAUAUUGAAAAGCUAUCUUCAUAUGUAUCAAAUAUGUAUUACGAAAUAACUGAAAAUUUAAAUGUAUUACAAAAUGAUACUAGCUGUUAUAUUAUUAAGAAUGAAGCCAAACACAAGAUUUAUCCUAAAGUUGCAACAACUAUUAGUACAAUAAGAUAUACUAAUCACCAUUACAACACUUAAUCUUAACCAUUUAUUCAACAUCUCAAAACUCACUUAUUCAGACCCAACAAAAUAGUCCUCAAUCCACUUUUAAAAUGAUCUUAAGCAUGAUUUGAAUUUUAGACAUGGUGUUGUGCUAGUUUUUCUGCCACCAAGAAAUAGAAAUGUCCCAUUACUCCAGUAUGCAUCAUGCUGUUGUUGUAGAUAGUUGUUAACUUUAAAUUUUCACCAUCAAAUAACUUGAUAGAACCUGGUUUAGGGUAACAAGCAGACAUUGCUACAAUAUACCCUUUCUCAUUUCCUGCUUCCUUUCCAGUUCCAUAUUUUGGAUAUGAAUUGCAUAUAACCCUCCCAUCCUAAUAAUAACAUGCCACAAACCAAAGUUUUAGAGAAAAUAAUAUCAUCAAAGUACUAUUGUUGGAGCCAUAUUAGACUCUUAACACCGUCAGAACCGUCGUUAUGGACAUGCAUGACAGGUUACCGCACAAGAUUCAAUAUUUGUCACAGUUAAAUCAUAGUUAACUUACACAGAAUCUUUAAAUAUUUGACGUGUGUCUGACAAGUAUUCGAAUGUUAAAAAAUCAUUUUAGUAUAUACCUGACCAUAUAGAGUUGAUCUAAUAGCACCUACAUGUUGAUGACCAACACUAUAGAUGAUAUAACCACCCUCUUUUAUAGGAACACUUGCUCUCUUAACAUCCACACAACCAUGGCUUUUGCUGCAAGCUUCAACUAGAUAUUCAACCUAUAUAUACAUACCAAAUAUUAUCAUUUACUCAAACCUAAAAAAUAAAAUAAAAAAUUCAGAUAUAUAAUUUUGAGAUUCAAUUCCACUUACCAUGCAAUUAUGCUCUAUGCUCAUUCCAUUAGUUUCAUUUGAUCUUUUCCAGCUAUCAGUAACAUCAAGUAUAUAGAUCUUAACAGGCACCACAUAUUCAUCCCAAUGAACCCACAUAAUUGUGUAUUUUAAGUAUAUGAUAUGUUUAGGACCCAAAAGAUAACCUUUCUUCAUUCUACAUUGACCAUUAUCAGGACAACAUCCUAACCCUCCUUUAUAGUUUGGAUCCAAAGGCUUUCCAUUUACAGCAUUUAUUGUAACAUUAUACAAAUCACAUUUACACUCAAUGCACCCCAUUCUAUCUUCUACACCUCUUGUAUCAAUUGCAUGAACAUUGAUCAUCCAUUUCUCAUCAUACCCUUUUGGAAUUUCUUCUGGAUUACCAAUUUCUACUCCAUAAGGAUCAGGAAUAUAUGUUUUUGUGCCUCUUGUUUCAGCUCCAAGACCAUAGUAUUGUCCUAGAAGAUUAUCUUGACAUAAUCCACUAUUUCUUACCAUGAUAAUAUUAUCUGUUUGGUAAUUGUUUGGUACAUUCUUAGGUUGUUGGUAUUUUUCAACAAUCCAAUGGUGAAGAUAUGUUUCUUGGAGAGGUACUGAAUUUCCCGAUUCAUCGACUAGUUCGGCAUGAAAACUUUUUAGUGCAAUGUGACCUCUUGGAAAAUCAACAUCAUAAUAUACUUUGUUUGAAAUAAAUCCAGGACUUAAUUCAAUUUUAGGUGAAUAAAAAACUGUCGUUUUAAUAUUGUUUUCAUUAUUUUCAGAAAUCGCUGAAGAGCACGGUGUAUUUAACAUCAACACUAGUAUUAAUAUUGCUGAUAAAACCAUCCAAUCUCGAGACAUAAACUUCAUGUUGAUCUGAAAUUAGUAGAAAUAAUAACUAACUAAAAGUAAUUAAUUAAGAAGACUAGAAUUAAAUUUAAAGAAGACAUUAUGUUAACCAUAACCAAUAACAAAGUUUUCUAUAUACAUUGGUUUGAAGAUAAAGAAACAUACCUUAACUUACUUGUAAGAGAAAUGUGCAAGUGUAUUUAGUAGGAAGAUUAUCAACUACUAAUCAAAUUAUAGAAUGUUAAGCUUGAAAUACGUAUUUAUAUAGAAAAUAAUGGAGUAAGUGCAUUUUGAGAUGUUCUAAAGAAAUGGCAUGGCGUUUACUAAAGAUAAAUAAUAAUUUUUUAGUAUGUGUUUGAAGUUUCAAUGCUUUAAUCCAGUGCAUGGCGUGAAUCACACAAGAAGGUAAAUGCAAAAAUAUUAUUAUUUUUAUUUUUGUGUGAUGAUCAUUCUUUUUUGAUAAACAAGUAACAAUAACAUUCUUUUUUUAUGCAUGGAUCAUGGCCUUCUUCAAUUUCUUAACGUCCAAAGCUAUGUCUCUAUGGCAAACCCAAAAAAAAAAAAAAACUAUGUCUCUAGAAGUCUAAAUCCAACCAAUCAAUAUUUUAAAGUAAUAUUUUAAAGUGUUAGUGAAAUAAUUCUCAUACAAACUAUGACUUUUAUUAUUACAAUAAUACAUUCUUUAUAUAUAUAUACUAUAUAUAUAUAUAAGGGUUGAUUCAUAUUUUUUAAAGACUUAUGGUAAAUAAUAAAAAUGGGUUUAAAAGAACAUCAUAUUUGUCAAAUAAAAAGAUGUUAGUAUAUUCAUUUUUCUACCAAAUUCUUGUAUUCGUCAACGUGAGCAUUAGCUAUAAUUGUCAUACCCCAAAAUUUGCUCUAUUUUCUUUUAAUUUGUCUAACUUAUGAUUUUGUUCAUUUGCAUACUUUUACUAUUUUGAUCAUUCACUCAUCGACAUUUGCAUAUGGUAACAAAUUUAGGUCAAAUGUUCGAUGAUAAUAGAUUUAAUUAGUUUAACUGGAUUUUUGAGGUGAAUAUUAUUUGGUAAUUGUUCGGAUUUAUUUUCCGUAUUACUUGUGGUGAAGAUCAUCUAUUUAUUUGAGAUUCAUGGUUAUCAGGAGAGAUUGAAACGAUCAUAGAUUAAUUCAGAGGUUUGCUUGGAUUCAAAGGAAAGGACAAAGUUGGAAUAAAAGGGAAAUUUCAUUCAUUUAAUGGAAAAUAUCACUUCUCAAAAAUACUAAAAUUCAUGGGUUAAGCCACUCAAAAUUCAAGCCAAAAGUGGUAGAAAAAUCAAGGUAAAUACAUGAAAAUUCAAGUUCAAUUACUAGUGACUCUUUGCCUUACAUCCUAACUUAGUACUUUUGCUAAACUCCAACACCAUUGGUCUUUAACUACUCUUAACUACCUAUUUCUCCACAAGCCAUCCAUUUACCUAAUUACCCUUAACUACCAUAACUUUCAAACAAACACAAAUCUCAACUUUCAUUUUUUUCACUAAUCCUACCCACUCUUAACAUUUAAUCAUAUAGUCGAAAUUGGUGAUCCACAACUAAGGAUUAAAUUAACUCCUAACCGUUGAUAAACCAAUUACUUGGAUCAUAAUCCAAGGGUGAUCAUUCACCUACCAAUUCUAUAUAAACAUAUUAUUUUAACAUUUUUGGGGUUAACUAACCUAACUUGGAAAAUUCACAAUUAACCAUUAUUUUCCAUCAUUUUUUCUUCUCAAUUUCUCUUUCAAUAUUCAUCUUCUCUCUCACCCUAACUAAAGUUCAUCUUCAUCACCAUUUAGAACUUCACAUUGAAGUUCUAAAAUGGUGGAACUUAGCCAUCAACAAUUUCUACAUUAUCAUCAACAAUUCAAGCAUUAUCAUCAAAAAUCAUCCAUAAAUAAUUUUUACAUUAUCAUCAAUUAUUAUCGUCUAAAGUUUAUCAAAUUUCAUCAACAAUCAUCAUCCAAAGUUCAUCAAUUCAAGCUUGUUCAUCAAUAUUCUAUAUUCAUCAUCAAAAAUAAUCUUCAAGUCUUGAAAGUUAAUUGAAUUAAAGAAACUCAUUCUUGAAGUUUUUCGGAUUUCUUUUCGGCGCUCCGAUUUUCAACACUAACCGGAGAAAAUCUCCGCUCCGUCGGUAAUCCUAUAUCUCUUCCACAUCCUUGCCAUUAAUUAUUGGAUAUUUAUUGGUUGAUUUAGCUUAAGCUACUGUUUUGGAAUUGCUUAUUGGAUAAUCAUUUUUUUUCAUUAGUCACAUAAACUUGAAAAUAGUGAUUUUUUUUUUCUAAAUGGAGUGAUGAUAAGUGCAUAUUUAUGCACAAUUCUCCUACUUUUUACUUAGGCAUUUCUUUAUUUUAUUUUGUUUAUUUUUAUAUUUUAUUAUGUUUUCAUAUUUUAUUUUAUUUUUAGUUUAAUUUAAUUUUCGACUUAUAUUUUUCACCUUUAAGCAGUCUGCGCGGAAACGAUCAUAACUGGAGUUCCGGAAAUCUGUUUGAGGCGUUCUAAAAUCGCCGGAAAGCUAAGAGAGAGAGCUACGACUUUCGUUUGGAGUCGAAGUCAGAUUCGGAGCUCAAAAUUCCAGAAUUUCGUUUCAAGUUGCAGCAUUAGUUUUAUUUAAGUUUUGGGUCAUUAGUUUUGGGUUUGGGUUAUGUUUUCGAUCCAGUUGGUUGUAAACUAAAUUCCUGUUUCCAUAUACCUAGCAGCCGCAUAACAUUAGGAUAAUGACUAUUCACGAAAUAUUUGAAAGAUUUGAAAGAAUUCUCAUGAAGAACUAAUCGAUCCAAACAAUUUGCUGUAUAUCGGGUUCCGAUACCUUGAGAUUUUAGUAAUUCUUAUUCAGGUUUUUAUUCAUUUCAAUAUUAAUAUAUGUAUUUGUUUGCUUAAUCCGAUUUACAUAUGCUAUAUUAUUUAAUUCGAUUGAUUGUGUGAUCCUAACUAUUGUCAUGAUUUCGUUUGCUUAAUUCGUUAUCGAGUUGUUUAAUUCAUGUUUGCUUAAUUCAUGAAACUUAAUCCCGUUUGCUUAAUUCGGAUAAUAGGAACAUACAAUUUAUACUAUCAAUUGCGUUUGUCAGUUAAUAUUAUAAUCGAAUAAGAAUAGUUAAUCUGCGGUUGGAAUUACGAUAGUCGAUGAUAGGCAAAGACCGAAUCAGUAAAUUGUUGCUACAACUUAUUUCAAUAAUCACUUAUUUUAAUCUAUUUUUUUAAUUGAAUCCUAAACCAACCAAAACCCCAUUAAUCGUUACUAUCAUUGGUUAAUUCAUUCAAGAAUCCUUGUGAGAACGAUAAUCCGAGUCAAUUUGUCGCUAACUACGUUUUGUCAAAAAUACUCGUUUUUGAUCCGCGCGCGACAGCGGAUCAAGUGACCAAAAGACCCUUGGUCACUUCAUGAGACUUUUUCUGUAAGUUGUGGAGUUCGAAGCCUCAAGUCAAGUUCUCAAUCAAGACAUCCUCAGUCAUACCAAGCAAUGGAUCAUACAAGGCACAUCAAAGGUAUCUGAACACAUUAGUGUAAUUUCGUUUAAAAAAUAAUCAAUACAAUUACCUUUUAUUCUCUCUCUCUCUAAUCUUUUUCUCACUCAAGUGCAUCAACACUAACAAAUUGGUAUCUAGAGUUUCUGAUUUGUUCUUCUUGAUCGAAAAUUCAAGAAUUGCACGUUGGUGAAUAGACGAUCAUAUUUUGAUUGUUCGUCUGUCUAUACAUAAGCAUAUAAUAUAUUGCACUUUGAAGGUAUCUUAACACCUUCUUUACAGCUUUUCAGUGGUCCGCGAAGAUAAGAAAAAUACAAGAAAGGGGAUUUAGUUAUGUUGGAUUUAAAGCUUUCUCGAUAUUCUCAAGCACAAAGAUAUCACAACAAAAUAUAGUAAAGAGAAUAGGGAUAAAUGAUCUCACACAUAUAAUAUAUACUACUUCACCUCUUUAAUAAGAGGCUAAUAGAAUUCUCUCAUACUUGAGAUAUUUCUAAUAUAAUCACAUUUGAUUACAGACCACCACUAAGACAACCCAGUCUUAGAUUACUUUAUUUCUUGCUUUAAACCACUAAGGACUUGUUUGCCUCACACUAGAGGGAUUUGAAAAAAUUACAAAGAGUUUUGUUUACAACUACUCUCAAAGAGUGGUAAACUUAAUACUACUCGAUUACAAGUGAUUGACUUUUCUUAGAAAGAAUAGUGAAUAGUGCAUAUGUUCUUAAAUGUUAGUUCUUUGUUAAUAUGACAGUGCUUUGCAAAUUUGUAAAUUCAAAAUGACACAACAAUAGUACAAAUCAUAAAUAUUAUAUGUGUGUAUUUCAAUAGGAUAGAAGAUUCUAAAAUGUUGUGUGUAUUGUUCUUUCAAAUCAUUUAACCGUCUAAAAAAGAGUAGUUGGAGUUGUACUAUAUGUACGAAAUCAUUAUUCAUUCAUUCUUUGUACUAAUUCUUAUCCUUUUAUUACUUGUAAUGUCAAAUAUUCAUAAUGUGACUAUUGAGAACAUUCAUCUUUAAUGCAUAUAUGAUUGCUAUUAGCAUUGAGUAUAGAUGAUAAGUAUGUCUGGUACCGAUGCUCUUUCUUAUCUUGAGGUGUAAAUGGUCACAUUAUCCUUUAACAAAUGGUGAACCUUAUUGACUUGAGCAUGUAUGAUCAUUCCCUUUCUUUUGGGUGGAUGAUCAUUCCUUUUAUCUUAGUGCAAAUGAUCAUUUUACUCAAUCUUGUUGGUUUUGACACAUAUGAUCCUUCUUUGUCUUCUAGUAUAAAUGAAUCAUUUCUUAUCUUGUUAUAAAUGAUCUUUUUUUUUUGUUGCAGACGAAAACAUAUCAGAGUAUCAAUGAUUCAUAAUUAUGUUGUUAACAUCAAAAUCCUUCGAAUAAAAUAUUCAAACUACUUUUAUAUCAAUAGUCUAAUCUCCUCAUAUUUAAUGAUGACAAACAUAUAAUUAUUUAAAUAAUUUUACAAAUAAAUAAAUAAAUAAGAGUAUUAAGUUUGCAAACUCUCUCGAAAUCAAAAUCAAGUUAAAAUAAAAUAAUUUAUUAACUUGUAAUAGAUAUUCAUAACAUUUUUAAAAAGAGAAAUAUUAUAAUGACACCAAUUUAACAUCUACACCGUAUAUAUAUUUAUGACAUUUUUUACUUUUUUUUUAUUAUUUUUAUGUGUAUUAAAAAUUGAGCCACACUCAAAAUGAAAUACAAAGGUAGGGUGUAAAUAAUACGGUGUGUCAAUAUAGCAAACCUCUUUUAAAAAAUCGGUUCUAGAAAUUUAUUUAAGUAUAAAAAUAUAUUAUUUGCAUUUUUUACAUUAAAGUUAUACAGUAUUUAAUUAUGAUAAAAUAGAAAAUUAAUAGAAAUUUAUUUAAGUAUAAAAAUAUAUUAUUUGCAUUUUUUACAUUAAAGUUAUACAGUAUUUAAUUAUGAUAAAAUAGAAAAUUAAGAUGGAUGAAAAAAACUAUGAUGUUUUACUUUCCAUAAUGACAAAGAAAACAGAAAUACAGUAAAUUCAUUGAUUAUCACGCCAGAAGUGGGCAUAAAGAGGAUAGCUAUGAAGAUUUGCAGGUUGAGAUCUCUGCUUUCUCUUGCCAAAUGCAAUUCUCAAACCUUCCCACCAACAACACGAAUCACGAUCUAGGUUAUCAAUUGAAUCAAAAUGCAGUUUAACAUUCUAGACCGGCCGAACCGCUGGUCAGUCCGGUUUAGUGAUUUUCAAGGCAGAUUUGGACCGGAUAAAAACAUGGUUCAAGGUUCAACUGACUGAACCGGUCGCUCCGGUUUUAUUACCAUGCUCACGGUUAAUCGUUCUCCUUUGCAAGAACUGCGUUCACUCACCCUAAUUCGAUUCCUUUUCCUUCAACGCUGAAAACCUUGUAUCGUUGUGUACUGAACUUUGAACUCUAUUUCUGUUGAAUCCGUAGGUAAAGCUCUCUGAGGUACUCUUUCUUCUUCACCUCUUCUCUUAUUUCAUAAUUGGUUUAUCAUUGAUUUUGAAAUGGAUAAUCAUUCGGUAGCUUUAAUAAUACCAGGAAUUUGAAAUAGCAUGAUUAUACAAAAUUCUAGAACUAGUAUAUAAAUUUAGACUCAUUCGUAAGCAUAAUCGCAUAAACGUUUCAAAGAUUGUAAGAUUAUGCAAUUCAACAAUUAGAAGGGGGGAUUCUACUUGAUUACACUAAAAUAGGAUUAUGUGUAUACUCUUAAUCGCUUAGGGCAAGCAUAAUUGCAAAAUGGUGGGAUUUUACGAUUCAAAUCGGAUUUUAACUACUAUUGAGAUGGGAAAAGAAAAUUACCAUGGUUAUUUUCUGUUUGUCUAAAGGAUUUGGAAUAUUCUACUUAGUUUUCCUAUUGCUGUUAGUUAAAUAAAGAAUUCUAGUCUCUCUAUUGCAAUUUUCAUUCAUUUGAUUACUCAAUUAUGGUUUUGUUAUGAAAAUCAUUUCUGACCGAAAGAAAAGAUCGUAACACGUGUUGUAUAUAAAUGUUCGCAUACUACCAUUGAUUUCAGAUUAAAGUUGCUGGUUUUUACUGCAUGCCAUGGGAGCCAGAGGAGUAAUUGCAGACAAGUGGUCUAUGAGAGUUCUUUGGGCUUGUGCUAUUGGAAGUGCUGUCAGUAAGCAUUUUCGACCUUUUCUCAAUGUAUUCUUCUUUCAUGAGUCCGUGUGAUAAGUCUAAGUCUCUUGGUAUUACUAUUAUCAUAUUUUUCUCAUUAUGGAUGACUAUUAUACCUGUCUAGGCCUGUAUAUGGUUGCCGUAGAAAGACAAAAACAGAAUAGGCAGAAGAUGUUGGCUGAAGGCUUGAAUGGAAUAGAUUUGGGGGAAAGGAAUGAAGAUGCUUAAGAUGUGUCACACUCUUUUGAAUACUUUUUAGUAUCAUUUAGCAUAUUUUCAUAUGAAAAUAAUAGUUACGGAUCGCUUUUUUCCAUUAAAACAUUAAAUCCAUUGACGUUAGUAUCUUUCUGAUAAGGUUGAAUCCUUGUGUAAAAGGUUUCUGUGUUAAUGUCUUUCAGACACAACGCCUAUGUUGAUCUUGUAAGAUCUUUGGUGAGGGCUUUCCCAUUUUGAUAAGAUCCAACAAAGUGGAAUACAAUAUAUUCUAGAAAGUUUAAAGUUUUGAAUUUUUUGGAACGUAUUUGUGACAAGAGAAAGUCACAAUCAACUUUGUUGAGAAAUAUAUCUAUCUAUUCAAACAAGUUCUGGAAUUGCCACGUGCAUGCUCUAUUUUCCGUGGUAAUGUUGGGAACUGAAAUAUUUAGGAUUUUUUAGAGAAAUAUUACUUUGAUACAUCAUUCUCUUUGAACAUGUGCGACUUUUUGUGCUCUCUAUUAAUCGAGAGAAUAAUCAAAAUAAAUUACGGAAAUAAACCUACAUAAAUAUAUGGUUAUAAAUAUAUGUUUGAUUGUAAUUACAAGAAUUUGGUGAGUUGUGAAUAUGCUGUCAUUGACUCAUGAUGAAUUGUGCUUCUAUAAAAUCUACAUAUGACAACAAAGAGUUAUCAAAAGUGUCCUGAAAUAAUGUGACUACAACAUUAUAUUGAGAACUGUUCACACAAUGUUACUAACAAACCUAUCAAUUAUUAACUUAAUUGUAAACACAAUACAACAUAAUACAUAAACAACUAAAUGAUAUAAAAAAUCAAACAGAAAUUCAAAUAUUCAAAUUUUGCCUUCAAAGAAUGAUAAGAACAUUAGACAUGGUGUUGUGGUAGCUUUUCUGCCACCAAGAAAUAGAAAAGUCCCAUUACACCAGAGAGAAUGCCUUAUACUGCUACUGUGGUUAGCCUCUAGAGUUA
rnacentral:lncRNA from 1 species